rnacentral:rRNA from 1 species
GGUAUUGAAAUAAGGCUUUAAAUGAGUGCUAAGAGAAUGGUUGAACAAUUAUAGGCUUUCUUUAAUUAAUAAAUUGAAGUUAAUUUUUUUGUGAAGAAGCAAAAAUGAAUAUUAGGGACAAGAAGACCCUAUGAAUUUUAAAAUUAAAAAAGGAGAUUAAUAAAUAACUUUUUAAUUUUAAUUGGGGCGAUGAGAAAAGAAUAGUUAUCUUUUUUUUAUGAGUUAAUUUGACCCAUUAAUAAUGAUUAAAUGAUUAAAAUACUCUAGGGAUAACAGCGUAAUAAUUUUGGAUAGUUCAUAUAGAUAAAAUAGUUUGCGACCUCGAUGUUGGAUUAGGAUACUUUAUUGGUGGAGAAAU